rnacentral:lncRNA from 1 species
UUCAAAUAGCCAGAUAAGGAAGGAUCUGGUACAAUCAGACGAUCAUCCUCGUUUUGUCUUUUCCGAUAGGCUUCAUCAAGCGAAGGUCUUCCAAUUGAUUCUUUAGUUGAGUCUUAAAAGUGACUUUGACUGACGUCAACUCCAACCAUCGUCAGAAGAUAGGAGAGAGCUUCGAUCUCUUUCCGUCAUCCCAGAGCAGAGGAAAUCAUCUUAGAAAUAGAAACCUGGGCUAGACAAAACAAAGGUACUCCGAGGGCUAGCUAAUGACAGAGCAGAGUACCUCCUCGUUAAAUGGAAAGCGAUCCCGUUCCUUACAUUACUAGGCUUAAAAAUGGGCAACGUUCCAAGGGCCGCAAAGUAGACUACUCAUAGAGGUCUCUCAAAUGUUAGGGGGUGAAACGCAAGAGAUCCGAAAAGGGGGGAAAAGAGCUCUGUACUCGAGGGUGAGAAACCAAUGAAAUAGGUUGUCCCUAAAGCAGAACUUCAUUUCAAUAAAGAAAAGGAGUCAAAAGAUCAUGUGCAAGAGCAGCUAGGAACAGUGUCCUCAGGCUUUCUUCGGAAUAAGAUAGAUCAGAAGCAGCAACUGUCUUUGUCUGUACAUCUAAAAAUUCCCUUAUCUUAGUUACUCCUAUUUUUGGGCUGG